CCCAAAUGGAGCACUAACUGUGUAUGCUAGGAGUUUUCCUGAAUUUUAAUUAAUCCUGACCACACACUGUGUUUAGUCGAUUAUCUGCACUCGUGGACUACAGAUAAUUUUUUACUAGGCGAGUUGUUGGUACAGGAACUCUGAAAUGGCGUUCGCCUUGGCUGUGCCUCUGGAACACGCAUGUUUGCAUUGGUGGCCCUGGAGGCUCCGCACACUGCACAACUAGCAG